rnacentral:rRNA from 1 species
AGUAACGGCGAGUGAACAGGGAAAAGCUCAAAGUUGGAACCUCCUGGCCCUAGGUCUGGCGGAUUGUAAACUAAAGCUCUCGAGUAGUUCGGCUAGCCUGGUAAAAAAGUUCUCUGGAAAGGGACGACAUAGAGGGUGAAAUCCCCGUCUUUGGCCAGAGCAUAGUCCAACGUUUGCUUGGAAGUGAAGAGUCAGGUUGUUUGGUAUUGCAGCCUAAAGCUGGAGGUAAAUCUCUCCUAAAGCUAAAUAUUGACGAAAGACCGAUAGCGAACAAGUACCGUGAGGGAAAGAUGAAAAGCACUUUGAAAAGAGGGUCAAAAAGUACGUGAAAUUGCUGAAAGGGAACCGUAUGAAAUCAGCUUGUCUCUUUGGUAAUCAACCUGGACUUUGGUCUGGGUGCACUUGCCAGUGAGUACAGCCUGCGACAAUUCGGCGCGAAGGAAAAAAUUAGAGGGAAUGUGGCCUCAGCUUCGGUUGAGGUGUUAUAGCCCUUUGAAAAAUACUUUGCUCUGGAUUGAGGACUGCAGCGAGCCAUUUGGGAUAGACUGUGGGCGCUUUGUUUGGACUGGGAGGAAAUUUCUAUCUCUGGUAGUGUUCUUUCAGCUCGAGCAAACUCGCCUACUUUUCUUUUUUCUCGCUUAGGUCGUAGGCAUAAUGAUUUUAUAUGACCCGUCUUGAAACACGGACCAAGGAGUCCACCAUCAUUGCGAGUCUUUGGGUGUAGAAACCCAUAGGCGGAAGGAAACUGACCAAGAUAUGAAACCUUUACCGGUGGCAAUAUCCUCCAGCAAGGACGUUUUAUACUGAACUGACUGAGAGAAAGCAAUGAUGAUGGGACCCGAAAGAUGGUGAACUAUACUUGAAUAGGGUGAAGCCAGAGGAAACUCUGGUGGAAGCUCGUAGCGAUUCUGACGUGCAAAUCGAUCGUCAAAUUUGAGUAUAGGGGCGAAAGACUAAUCGAACCAUCUAGUAGCUGGUUCCUGCCGAAGUUUCCCUCAGGAUAGCAGAAACUCACAAAGCAGUUUUAUGGGGUAAAGCGAAUGAUUAGAGGCCUUGGGGGCGAAAUGCCCUUAACCUAUUCUCAAACUUUAAAUAUGUAAGACGCCUUUCUUUCUUAAUUGAAGUUGGGCCUUUGAAUGCAGAGUUUCUAGUGGGCCAUUUUUGGUAAGCAGAACUGGCGAUGCGGGAUGAACCGAACGUAGAGUUAAGGUGCCCAAAUUUACGCUCAUCAGACACCACAAAAGGUGUUAGUUCAUCUAGACAGCAGGACGGUGGCCAUGGAAGUCGGAAACCGCUAAGGAGUGUGUAACAACUCACCUGCCGAAUGAACUAGCCCUGAAAAUGGAUGGCGCUUAAGCGUAAUACCUAUACUCUACCGUCAAUGUAAAAGCGAAGCAUUGACGAGUAGGCAGGCGUGGAGGUUUUGUAUAGAAG